rnacentral:rRNA from 1 species
CAAGUCGUAACGGUGAAGCCAGCUUGCUGGGUGUUCCAGUGGCGAACGGGUGAGUAACACGUGAGCAAUCUGCCCCUGACUCUGGGAUAAGCGCUGGAAACGGCGUCUAAUACUGGAUACGAGCUGCGAUCGCAUGGUCAGUAGCUGGAAAGAUUUUUUGGUCAGGGAUGAGCUCGCGGCCUAUCAGCUUGUUGGUGAGGUAAUGGCUCACCAAGGCGUCGACGGGUAGCCGGCCUGAGAGGGUGACCGGCCACACUGGGACUGAGACACGGCCCAGACUCCUACGGGAGGCAGCAGUGGGGAAUAUUGCACAAUGGGCGCAAGCCUGAUGCAGCAACGCCGCGUGAGGGAUGACGGCCUUCGGGUUGUAAACCUCUUUUAGCAGGGAAGAAGCGAAAGUGACGGUACCUGCAGAAAAAGCGCCGGCUAACUACGUGCCAGCAGCCGCGGUAAUACGUAGGGCGCAAGCGUUAUCCGGAAUUAUUGGGCGUAAAGAGCUCGUAGGCGGUUUGUCGCGUCUGCUGUGAAAUCCCGAGGCUCAACCUCGGGUCUGCAGUGGGUACGGGCAGACUAGAGUGCGGUAGGGGAGAUUGGAAUUCCUGGUGUAGCGGUGGAAUGCGCAGAUAUCAGGAGGAACACCGAUGGCGAAGGCAGAUCUCUGGGCCGUAACUGACGCUGAGAAGCGAAAGGGUGGGGAGCAAACAGGCUUAGAUACCCUGGUAGUCCACCCCGUAAACGUUGGGAACUAGUUGUGGGGUCC